rnacentral:lncRNA from 1 species
GCUGACAGCCUUUUCUCCUUUCGGUUGUUUGUUUCAGCAACCUUCUUGCCAGACCUCAAGGUCUUUGGUAUCACUUUUUCCUGACCAUUCUCAUCAUCAGAUGUCUCAUUUUCAGCAUCAUCAUCAUCAUCAGAUGUCUCAUUUUCAGCAUCAUCAUCAUCCUCAGAGACAGCUUCAGAAACCUUCUUGCUGGAUUUUAAGGGCAUGGGCUUCGCCUCAUCAUCAUCACGACCUUCCUCAUCAUCAUCUUCA